UCGCUGUGAAGAUGCAGUGUACCCGCGGCAAGACGGAAAGACCCCGUGAACCUUUACUAUAGCUUGACACUGAACAUUGAGCCUUGAUGUGUAGGAUAGGUGGGAGGCUUUGAAGUGUGGACGCCAGUCUGCAUGGAGCCGACCUUGAAAUACCACCCUUUAAUGUUUGAUGUUCUAACGUUGACCCGUAAUCCGGGUUGCGGACAGUGUCUGGUGGGUAGUUUGACUGGGGCGGUCUCCUCCUAAAGAGUAACGGAGGAGCACGAAGGUUGGCUAAUCCUGGUCGGACAUCAGGAGGUUAGUGCAAUGGCAUAAGCCAGCUUGACUGCGAGCGUGACGGCGCGAGCAGGUGCGAAAGCAGGUCAUAGUGAUCCGGUGGUUCUGAAUGGAAGGGCCAUCGCUCAACGGAUAAAAGGUACUCCGGGGAUAACAGGCUGAUACCGCCCAAGAGUUCAUAUCGACGGCGGUGUUUGGCACCUCGAUGUCGGCUCAUCACAUCCUGGGGCUGAAGUAGGUCCCAAGGGUAUGGCUGUUCGCCAUUUAAAGUGGUACGCGAGCUGGGUUUAGAACGUCGUGAGACAGUUCGGUCCCUAUCUGCCGUGGGCGCUGGAGAACUGAGGGGGGCUGCUCCUAGUACGAGAGGACCGGAGUGGACGCAUCACUGGUGUUCGGGUUGUCAUGCCAAUGGCACUGCCCGGUAGCUAAAUGCGGAAGAGAUAAGUGCUGAAAGCAUCUAAGCACGAAACUUGCCCCGAGAUGAGUUCUCCCUGACUCCUUGAGAGUCCUGAAGGAACGUUGAAGACGACGACGUUGAUAGGCCGGGUGUGUAAGCGCAGCGAUGCGUUGAGCUAACCGGUACUAAUGAACCGUGAGGCUUAACCUUACAACGCCGAAGCUGUU
rnacentral:rRNA from 1 species